UACGGAGGAUGCAAGCGUUAUCCGGAAUUAUUGGGCGUAAAGCGUCCGCAGGUGGCACUUCAAGUCUGUCGUCAAAGACCGGGGCUUAACCCUGGAAAGGCGAUGGAAACUGAAAGGCUAGAGAGAGGUAGGGGUAGAGGGAAUUCCCAGUGUAGCGGUGAAAUGCGUAGAGAUUGGGAAGAACAUCGGUGGCGAAAGCGCUCUACUGGGCCAUAACUGACACUCAGGGACGAAAGCUAGGGGAGCGAAUGGG
rnacentral:rRNA from 1 species